GCACCUUAUAAAGCGGGUGCCGGGAUUGGAACCCCGCCGAUGACUAUCGCGCACGACCGCGCCAGCGGUUUUUUU
rnacentral:sRNA from 1 species